rnacentral:misc_RNA from 1 species
CCCAACUAUCCCUAUUAAUCAUUACGUCAAUCCUAGAAACCAACAAAAUAAGAUCAACGUCCUAUUUCAUUAUUCCAUGCUAAUGUAUUCAAGCGUGAGCCUGCUUUAAACACUCUAAUUUUUUCAAAGUAACAGUCCUGAUUCCCUACCACACCAAAUUAAUGGCAUGAUAGUUCUUCAGAAGGGAGAAAUCAGUAGCACCAGUGCAUACCAGAGGCACGACCAGCGCACUGAUUCCGAAAUUCAACUACGAGCUUUUUAACUGCAACAACUUUAAUAUACGCUAUUGGAGCUGGAAUUACCGCGGCUGCUGGCACCAGACUUGCCCUCCAA